rnacentral:rRNA from 1 species
ACUGGGCGUAAAGCGCACGCAGGCGGUCUGUCAAGUCGGAUGUGAAAUCCCCGGGCUCAACCUGGGAACUGCAUUCGAAACUGGCAGGCUUGAGUCUUGUAGAGGGGGGUAGAAUUCCAGGUGUAGCGGUGAAAUGCGUAGAGAUCUGGAGGAAUACCGGUGGCGAAGGCGGCCCCCUGGACAAAGACUGACGCUCAGGUGCGAAAGCGUGGGGAGCAAACAGGAUUAGAUACCCUGGUAGUCCACGCCGUAAACGAUGUCGACUUGGAGGUUGUGCCCUUGAGGCGUGGCUUCCGGAGCUAACGCGUUAAGUCGACCGCCUGGGGAGUACGGCCGCAAGGUUAAAACUCAAAUGAAUUGACGGGGGCCCGCACAAGCGGUGGAGCAUGUGGUUUAAUUCGAUGCAACGCGAAGAACCUUACCUACUCUUGACAUCCACGAGAACUUCGGCAGAGAUGCAUUAGUGCCUUCGGGAACCAUGACACAGGUGCUGCAUGGCUGUCGUCAGCUCGUGUUGUGAAAUGUUGGGUUAAGUCCCGCAACGAGCGCAACCCUUAUCCUUUGUUCCCAGCGGUCCGGCCGGGAACUCAAAGGAGACUGCCAGUGAUAAACUGGAGGAAGGUGGGGAGGACGUCAAGUCAUCAUGGCCCUUACGACCAGGGCUACACACGUGCUACAAUGGCACAUACAAAGAGAAGCGACCUCGCGAGAGCAAGCGGACCUCAUAAACUGCUAUGUCGUAGUCCGGAUUGGAGUCUGCAACUCGACUCCAUGAAGUCGGAAUCGCUAGUAAUCCUAGAUCAGAAUGCCACGGUGAAUACGUUCCCGGGCCUUGUACACACCGCCCGUCACACCAUGGGAGUGGGUUGCAAAAGAAGUAGGUAGCUUAACCUUCGGGAGGG